GAUCAUGGCUCAGGAUUAACGCUGGCGGCGUGCCUAACACAUGCAAGUCGAACGGAAUAUCUUCGGAUAUUUAGUGGCGAACGGGUGAGUAAUGUACAGGUAAUGUACCUUCGUACUGCGAAUAACAAGCUGAAAAGUUUGCUAAUACGGAAUAGUUUCCUUCGAGGGCAUCCUUAAAGGAAUAAAGAUUUAUCGUGCGGAGAUCAGCCUGUAUCCUAUUAGUUAGUUGGUGGGGUAAUGGCCUACCAAGACGACGAUGGGUAACUGGUCUGAGAGGAUGAGCAGUCACAUUGGAACUGAGAAACGGUCCAAACUCCUACGGGAGGCAGCAGUGAGGAAUUUUGCGCAAUGGGGGAAACCCUGACGCAGCCAACGCCGCGUGAGUGAUGACGGCCUUCGGGUUGUAAAGCUCUGUCGUGUGUGACGAGUAGGGACGGUAACACACAAGGAAGCCUCGGCUAACUACGUGCCAGCAGCUGC
rnacentral:rRNA from 1 species